rnacentral:rRNA from 1 species
GCGGCAAGAGCUCAAAUUUGAAAUCUGGCUCCUUCGGGGCCCGAGUUGUAAUUUGUAGAGGAUGCUUCGGGCGUGGCCGCGGUCUAAGUCCCCUGGAACGGGGCGUCGCAGAGGGUGAGAAUCCCGUCUUCGGCCGGCCGGCCCCGCCCGUGUGAAGCUCCUUCGACGAGUCGAGUUGUUUGGGAAUGCAGCUCUAAAUGGGUGGUAAAUUUCAUCUAAAGCUAAAUACUGGUCGGAGACCGAUAGCGCACAAGUAGAGUGAUCGAAAGAUGAAAAGCACUUUGAAAAGAGAGUUAAACAGCAUGUGAAAUUGUUGAAAGGGAAGCGCUUGCGACCAGAGUCGGCCGCGGGGGCUCAGCGGGCACUCGUUGCCCGUGCACUCCCCCGUGGUCGGGCCAGCGUCGGUUUCGACGGCCGGUCAAAGGCCCCCGGAAUGUGUCGCCUCUCGGGGCGUCUUAUAGCCGGGGGUGCAAUGCGGCCAGUCGGGACCGAGGAACGCGCUCCGGCACGGACGCUGGCUUAAUGGUCGUAAGCGACCCGUCUUGAAACACGGACCAAGGAGUCUAACAUCCACGCGAGUGUUCGGGUGUCAAACCCGUCCGCGCAGUGAAAGCGAACGGAGGUGGGAACCCUCAAGGGUGCACCAUCGACCGAUCCUGAAGUCUUCGGAUGGAUUUGAGUAAGAGCG